rnacentral:snoRNA from 1 species
UCCCUUCCAAAAGCACUUGCUCUGUCUGCUCAGUGGCUGUGUGAGUUGUCGUUGAAGGAAACAGUAAAAUCAUCACUGUGGGUGAGACGGCAGCGUUUGCUGUGGCUGACUGAUCUCAAUCAGGGAUGAGACAAAU